UGCGUAGGCGGACUAAUAAGUCAGUGGUGAAAUCUUUCGGCUCAACCGAGAAACUGCCAUUGAUACUGUUAGUCUUGAGUUUGGUUGAGGUAGGCGGAAUGUGUAAUGUAGCGGUGAAAUGCUUAGAUAUUACACAGAACACCAAUUGCGUAGGCAGCUUACUAGACCGACACUGACGCUGAGGCACGAAAGCGUGGGGAGCGAACAGGAUUAGAUACCCUGGUAGUCC
rnacentral:rRNA from 1 species